CCAACGGCCCUUUUCAGGGCCCCAAAUAUCCAAGAAAGAAUUCAA
rfam:Strongylocentrotus purpuratus Contig82215_fixed, whole genome shotgun sequence.